CUGCCAAGAAAAGCCUCUAGCCAGGUGAUGGUGCCCGUACCGCAAACCGACACAGGUAGGCGAGAAGAGAAUUCUAAGGCGCGCGGAAGAACUCUCGUUAAGGAACUCGGCAAAAUGACCCCGUAACUUCGGGAGAAGGGGUGCCCCGGUAGUGUGAAUAGCACGAGGGGGCCGCAGUGAAAAGGCCCAAGCGACUGUUUAGCAAAAACACAGGUCUGUGCGAAGCCGUAAGGCGAAGUAUACGGGCUGACGCCUGCCCGGUGCUGGAAGGUUAAGGGGAGCGGUUAGGAGCAAUCCGAAGCUGUGAACCGAAGCCCCAGUAAACGGCGGCCGUAACUAUAACGGUCCUAAGGUAGCGAAAUUCCUUGUCAGGUAAAUUCUGACCCGCACGAAUGGCGUAACGACUUGGGCGCUGUCUCAACGAGAGAUCCGGUGAAAUUUUAAUACCUGUGAAGAUGCAGGUUACCCGCGACAAGACGGAAAGACCCCAUGGAGCUUUACUGCAGCUUGAUAUUGAAUUUGGGUACGAUCUGUACAGGAUAGGUGGGAGCCUUUGAAACGUGAGCGCCAGCUUGCGUGGAGGCACCGUUGGGAUACCACCCUGAUCGUAUCUAGGUUCUAACCUGGUACCGUAAUCCGGUGCGGGGACAGUGUCAGGUGGGCAGUUUGACUGGGGCGGUCGCCUCCUAAAGAGUAACGGAGGCGCCCAAAGGUUCCCUCAGAAUGGUUGGAAAUCAUUCGAAGAGUGCAAAGGCAUAAGGGAGCUUGACUGCGAGACCUACAAGUCGAGCAGGGACGAAAGUCGGGCUUAGUGAUCCGGUGGUACCGCAUGGAAGGGCCAUCGCUCAACGGAUAAAAGCUACCCUGGGGAUAACAGGCUUAUCUCCCCCAAGAGUCCACAUCGACGGGGAGGUUUGGCACCUCGAUGUCGGCUCAUCGCAUCCUGGGGCUGAAGUAGGUCCCAAGGGUUGGGCUGUUCGCCCAUUAAAGCGGUACGCGAGCUGGGUUCAGAACGUCGUGAGACAGUUCGGUCCCUAUCUGUCGUGGGCGUAGGAAAUUUGAGAGGAGCUGUCCUUAGUACGAGAGGACCGGGAUGGACGUACCGCUGGUGUACCAGUUGUUCCGCCAGGAGCACCGCUGGGUAGCUAUGUACGGAAGGGAUAAGCGCUGAAAGCAUCUAAGCGUGAAGCCCCCCUCAAGAUGAGAUUUCCCAGUAUGUAAGACCCCUUGAAGACGACGAGGUAGAUAGGCUGGGGGUGGAAGUGCAGCAAUGCAUGGAGCUGACCAGUACUAAUCGGUCGAGGGCUUAUCCAAG
rnacentral:rRNA from 2 species